rnacentral:lncRNA from 1 species
GGAUUUACAGAAGCUGUGGAAAGACUUGAAUAUUUCCAUUAAAAGAACUUGAAUGUGAAAAGCUCCAAAUAAGUGAAAGAGCGGAUUGCAAAUUGUAAACUGUCUUGAACAAAAGAGAUUUGAAACAACUGUAGAAAAAAAUAAACAAAAAAAUAUUAAGCAACAACAAACAUUGGAAAUUAAUAGGCAGGAUCCAGCAAGGACAUUUUAUUGAAUUGCUUGCAGGGGGAGCAGGAGAAAUGAAGAAGCAGUGAUAGUGGUGCUUGAAGCUCUUAGUUAGAUACCACACCUAGGGGUGAUUCAACACACACACACACACACACACACACAUGCACGACACCUGCUCUUUCAUCUUACUUUGUAUGUUUUAAAGAGAAUGAAACAGUUUCCGUCACCAAGGAUUUUGACAACUCACCUCCAUUAUGACAAAUUAC